CCCUUAGAUGUUCUGGGCCGCACGCGCGCUACACUGAUGAAUUCAACGAGCUCCUAACCUAGGCCAAAGGGUCCGGGUAAUCUUUGAAAUUUCAUCGUGAUGGGGAUAGAUUAUUGCAAUUAUUAAUCUUCAACGAGGAAUUCCUAGUAAGCGCGAGUCAUCAGCUCGCGUUGAUUACGUCCCUGCCCUUUGUACACACCGCCCGUCGCUCCUACCGAUUGAAUGGUCCGGUGAAAUGUUCGGACCGCGACAAGGCGGACGGUUCGCUGUCAGCUUUGCUGCGGGAAGUUCAUUAAACCUUAUCAUUUAGAGGAAGGAGAAGUCGUAACA
rnacentral:rRNA from 1 species